UGAUUCAUAAUCUGUUUUUCUUUGUUCAUUCGUUUUAUUUCUUGUUUCACUGAUGAAUGUUAGUGUUGUGGAUUCGCGUUUGUUUGAAGGAGAUUCCGCAGCUGUGAACAACAGAGAAUUAAUUUCCGUGUUUUCGUUGAUGAAUUUUUGCGGAUUUUAGCAUUGGCGUUAAUCUGUGCAACGAAUGAGAUUUUCAAUUCAUACGUUUUCCGGAUUCGCCUCUCCGCGUGUGGAAUCUCAUGUUAAUUUCCCCUGACGCAUCCUACGAUUGAGAAAUCGAAGCAGCCCCAAUUUUCCCGGCGGCGGCGGUGAUUAGAUCAUUUAUUUUGAGUUCUAGGGUUUUUGGUGAUUUUUUGCUAAGAUGGAAUUAACCGUUAACAUACGAUCGACAAAGGAGGAACUUGUUCUAUCGAUUCUUCCGCUGUUGAAACUGAUUUGCCUCACAGUAAUAGGUUUGAUUCUCGCCCAUCCGAAAACUCAAUUGGUUCCAAAAGCGACGUUCAAGCUUCUCAGCAAGCUGGUUUUCGCAUUGUUCUUGCCUUGUAUGAUCUUCAUCCAUUUGGGAGAAACUAUAACUGUGAAGAAUUUCCUGCGUUGGUGGUUCAUACCUACAAAUGUGAUUCUGAGUACUGUGAUCGGUUGUUUGUUGGGAUGGCUCGUCGCCAGGAUAUGCCGGCCCCGGGCCGAAUACUUUCGAUUUACAGUGAUCAUGACUGCAUUUGGGAACACUGGAAAUCUUCCUCUUGCCAUUGUUGGAUCAGUGUGCCGUAGUGAUGAUCAUCCAUUCGGUCCCGAUUGUCACGCUCUCGGGACGGCAUACGUCUCGUUUGCGCAGUGGGUCGCCGUGUUGCUUGUUUACACACUUGUCUACCAUAUGAUGGAGCCUCCUAUGGAAUACUAUGAAGUUGUUGAUGUAGGCGCCGAGAUUCAUGAACAGGUCCCGACGAAUGAUCUCAGUAGGCCUCUUCUUGUGGAAGCCGAGUGGCCGGGAAUGGAAGAUAGAGAGACCGAGCAUUGCAAGUCGCCGCUGAUUGCAAGAGUUUUUGGAAAUCAAUCCGAUAUCUCCAUCCCUGAUGUGGAAUCUUUGGAUGGGAGCUCGAGUGUUGCACCAGAGAGUCCGAAGUCGCUUAGAUGUUUAGCCGAGCCACGGGUUAUGAAAAAGAUCAGAAUUGUAGCCGAGAAGACGCCACUUUUCCAUGUUCUUCAGCCUCCAACAUUCGCGACACUACUUGCCUUCUUUGUCGGGAUGGUUCCUCCGAUCAAAUCAGUGGUGUACGGAAACGAUGCGCCCCUCUCGUUUAUAACAGAUAGUUUAGAGAUUCUUGCCGGCGCAAUGGUGCCCUCAGUGAUGCUUAUCCUCGGAGGGAUGCUUUCAGAGGGACCUAAUGAAUCAAGACUCGGCCUUCGAACUACGAUUGGGAUCAUUGUCGCGAGGCUCUUGGUUCUCCCCAUGAUUGGCGUCGGGGUUGUCACUUUGGCCGAUAAAUUGAACUUUUUGAUACCCGGCGAUCAAAUGUAUCGAUUGGUGCUUCUGUUGCAGUACACUACGCCGAGCGCCAUUUUGCUUGGAGCCGUCGCGAGCUUGAGGGGCUACGCCGUCUGCGAAGCGUCGUCUUUACUCUUCUGGCAACAUAUAUGUGCAGUCCUGUCUCUUGCUAUAUAUAUGGUUGUCUACUUCAAGAUGCUCAUCUUCUAUGUUUGAGCCAUGGAAGAAGGGCAAGAAGCUGUGCCAGUCUUUUAAAGUGAUCAGAGCCCAUAGCUACAGAGACGAAGCAAGUAAUAUUGUGGAUGAUAAUCUGAUGGUUCUGAGGGAGAGAAUAAACCUAAUUAAGACCAAGGAGAAGCUGGAGAGAUGCUGCAAUCCCGCCGCCGCGGCGGUGGCGGCGGCGGCGGCGGUGGCGGAGGGAUGGGAUUAUAGUCGCAAUGAUUUGAUAAGAAGAAAAGGAGAUGAGGAAUUGUUGGAAUUUGGAGGCAAAGUUGCAGGCGCUUUUGGGCUCACAAUUUUUGGCUGCAGCUGCUGCCUCUGCCUUGUGGCUCUUUUGCUUCAUUUUAAUUAAUUAGAAUUUUUUAUUUUUAUUUUUGUUAAAAAAAAAAAAUCUACAAAGUUUAAUUAUUAUUUUUCUUAUUUUUAUAAAGUGCACAAUAUUCUCUAAAAAAUGAGAAAAGAUUAAUUAUACACUUUCUAAUUUAUGAAAAUAUUAAUGCAGAGUUUCAAAAGUGCAAGUAAUUGCACAAUUGUGUCUUAUUUCAUUUAUGCGUAUGUAUUGGUAAUACUUAAAUGAUGUACUCUU